UUCCCCCAAAGCUGGCCUCUGCGGGCACCUUCCGGGUGCUGAAGGAGCCCCUUGCCUUCCUGCGAGCCCUGGAAUUGGCUGUACAAGAAACAUGGUGUCACUAUCCACUUCUGGUGAAGGCCUCAGGCUGCUUCCACUCAUGGCAGAAGGCAGAGAGGAGCUGGUGUGUGCAGAGAUCACAUGGUGAGAAAGGAAGCAAAAGCUUUUUGCAAUCUUUGCAUUUGCAACAUGCGGUGGCUAUUCCGGAGGCCUGCGGCUGAGUGUGGACUGCGUCAACAAGACAGAAAGUAACCUCAGCAUCGACAUAGCGUUUGCCUACCCAUUCAGGUUGCACCAGGUGACGUUUGAGGUGCCCACCUGCGAGGGAAAGGAACGGCAGAAGCUGGCAUUGAUUGGUGACUCCUCGUCUUCAGCAGAGUUCUUCGUCACUGUUGCUGUCUUCGCCUUCCUCUACUCUUUGGCUGCCACUGUCGUUUACAUUUUCUUCCAGAACAAAUACCGGGAAAACAACCGGGGCCCACUCAUU
rnacentral:sRNA from 1 species